UACAGAGGGUGCGAGCGUUGUCCGGAAUCACUGGGCGUAAAGGGUGCGUAGGUGGCGAGGUAAGUCGGAUGUGAAAGCUCGGAGCUCAACUCCGAAAUGGCAUUGGAAACUACCUUGCUCGAGGGUUGGAGGGGGGACUGGAAUACUUGGUGUAGCAGUGAAAUGCGUAGAUAUCAAGUGGAACACCAGUGGCGAAGGCGAGGCGCUGGGCAGCUACUGACACUGAGGCGCGAAAGCGAGGGGAGCAAACAGG
rnacentral:rRNA from 1 species